rnacentral:rRNA from 1 species
AGAGUUUGAUCAUGGCUCAGGACGAACGCUGGCGGCGUGCUUAACACACGCAAGUCGAACGGAGUUCCUUGGAUCUAGGUUUCGGCCAAUUGAAUUGGAACUUAAUGGCGGACUGGUGAGUAACGCGUGAGGAACCUGCCCUUCAGAGGGGGACAACAGUUGGAAACGACUGCUAAUACCGCAUGACGCAUGACUGGGGCAUCCCGGACAUGCCAAAGAUUUUAUCGCUGAAAGAUGGCCUCACGUCUGAUUAGCUAGUUGGUGGGGUAACGGCCUACCAAGGCGACGAUCAGUAGCCGGACUGAGAGGUUGACCGGCCACAUUGGGACUGAGAUACGGGCCAGACUCCUACGGGAGGCAGCAGUGGGGAAUAUUGGGCAAUGGACGCAAGUCUGACCCAUCUACGCCGCGUGAAGGAAGAAGGCUUUCGGGUUGUAAACUUCUUUUAAGGGGGAAGAGCACAAGACGGUACCCCUUGAAUAAGCCACGGCUAACUACCUGCCACCAUCCGCGGUAAUACGUAGGUGGCAAGCGUUGUCCGGAUUUGCUGGGUGUAAAGGGCGUGUAGCCGGGUUCUUAACUCAGAUGUGAAAUCCACGGGCUCAACUCGUGAACUGCAUUUGAAACUGAGGAUCUUGAGUAUCGGAGAGGUAAUCGGAAUUCCUUGUGUAGCGGUGAAAUGCGUAGAUAUAAUGAAGAACACCGAGUGGCGAUGCGGAUUACUGGACGACACUGACCGGUGAGGCGCGAAAGCGUGAGGAGCAAACAUGAAUAGUAUACCCUGUCAGUCCACGCUGUAAACGAUCGAUACUAUGUGUGGGGGGAUUGGCCCCCCUGGGGGCAGCAAUUAACACAAUAAAGUUUUCCCACCUGGGAGUAGGAUUGCAAGGUGGAAAUCAAAGGAAUGACGG